rnacentral:rRNA from 1 species
UACGUAGGGGGCAAGCGUUGUCCGGAAUCAUUGGGCGUAAAGAGCGUGUAGGCGGUCCGGUAAGUCGGUUGUGAAAGUCCAGGGCUCAACCCUGGGAUGCCGACCGAUACUGUCGGACUAGAGUUCGGAAGAGGCGAGUGGAAUUCCCGGUGUAGCGGUGAAAUGCGCAGAUAUCGGGAGGAACACCUAUGGCGAAGGCAGCUCGCUGGGACGUUACUGACACUGAGGCGCGAAAGCGUGGGGAGCAAACAGG